rnacentral:rRNA from 1 species
GCGAACGCUGGCGGCAGGCCUAAAACAUGCAAGUCGAACGCCCGUAGCAAUACUGGAGUGGCAGACGGGUGAGUAACACGUGGGAACGUGCCUUUUGUUCGGAACCACCCAGGGAAACUUGGGGCUAAUACCGCAUACCACACGAAGAGUGGAAAGCGCAAUGCGCUUGGAGGAGGAGUCCGCGGCCGAUUAGAUAGUUGGCAGGGUAAAGCAGCCUACCAAGGCAAAGAUCGGUAGCCGGCCUGAGAGGGCACACGGCCACACUGGCACUAGAAACACGGGCCAGACUCCUACGGAGGCAGCAGUGGGGGAAUCUUGCACAAUGGGGGAAACCCUGAAUGCAGCGACGACGCGCGUGAGCGAUGAAGCCCUUCGGGGUGUAAAGCUCUUUCGGCAGGGAAGAUGAUGACGGUACCUGCAGAAGCAGCUGCGGCUAACUACGUGCCAGCAGCGCGGUAAGUACUGUAGGCAGCAAGCGUUGUUCGGAGUUACUUGGGCGUAAAGGGUGCGUAGGCCGUGUUGUUUAAGUUUGGGUGUGAAAUCUCCCGGCUCAACCUGGGAGGGUGCGCCGAAUACUGAACUGACUUCGAGUGCGGGAGAGGGAGAGUGGAAUUCCUGGUGUAGCGGUGAAAUGCGUAGAUAUCCAGGAGGAACUACCGGUGGUGUAGACGGCCUCUCUGGACCGUAACUGACGCUGAGGCAACGAAUAGCUGGGUAGCAAACAGGAUUAGAUACCCUGGUAGUCCACGCCCUAAACGAUGCAUAUUUGGUGUGGGCAGUUCAGUCUGUCCGUGCCGGAGCUAACCGUUAAAUAUGCCGCCUGGGGAGUACAGUCGCAAGGCUGAAACUCAAAGGAAUUGACGGGGGCCCGCACAAGCGGUGGAGCAUGUGGUUCAAUUCGACGCAACGCGAAGAACCUUACCUGGGCUCGAACGGCUGGUCAAACGGAGGUGAAACAUCUCCUACCCCGCAGGUGGGUCCAGUCGAGGUGCUGCAUGCUGUCGUCAGCUCGUGUCGUGAGAUGUUGGGUUAAGUCCCGCAACGAGCGCAACCCUUGUCCUGUGUUGCCACCAUUCAGUUGGGACUCGCAGGAGACCGCCAGGGAUAACCUGGAGGAAGGUGGGGAUGACGUCAAGUCCUCAUGGCCUUUAGUCCAGGGGCUACACACGUGCUACAAUGGACGGUACAAAGCGCAGCGAACCCGCGAGGGGGGAGCCAAUCGCAAAAAAACCGUUUCUCAGUUCGGAUUGGCAGGCUGCAACUCGCCUGCAUGAAGCUGGAAUCGCUAGUAAUAGGCAGAUCAGCACGCUGCCGUGAAUACGUUCCCGGGCCUUGUACACACCGACCCGUCCACAUCACGAAAGUGGAUUGUACUAGAGUCUGCAGGCUGACCCGCAAGGGAGGCAGCGGCCCAAGGUAUGAUUCCUGAUUGGGGUG